UGCAACAGACCGGUUUACUGGGCUGGCUUGAACAGCAGGCUUAUGGAGUCCUAAGCCCGUGUUCUAUCCUACGAUAUUCCUCUUUAUGACAGAGUAAUACAGAAAGACAAAUUGAUAUCACAAAGUAUACCAAAUUCAUUACAGCUUAAGACUAGCCCCACAAAUCCUUGUUCCCAUUAAUCAAAACUUUACAGAGGUGAUAAACAGUGAUUUUUACCAUUCAUUCAGUUUUCACUAAGAGACAAAAGAGGGUUCUUGGAUCUCACACAAGAAAGAAUUUGGGGCAAGUCCAUACAGUAAAGUGAAAGCAGGUUUAUUAAGAAAGUAAGGAAAUAAAAGAAUGGCUACUCUGUAGGCAGAACAGCAGCAUGGUCUGCUCAAAUAAGCAGGGAGGAUCAUUUGAACCCAGUUCAAGAUUACAGUGAGCUGUGAUCGUACCAUUGUACUUCAGCCAGGGUGACAGUGCAAGAGCCUAUCUCUAAAAACAAACAAAAAUUGCUUUCACACUGUGAUGCUAUCACAUCUCUCCUAAGCUCUUGUUGGGGCUCAGAAAUUGAUACCCUAAAAUAUGGCCCUUGGUCAUAUUGAACUGAAGAAGCCUCAAAGUCUCUCUGACAUCCCUGCCACCAACUAUCCCUACCAAAACACAUCGUGGAAUUAAAGUUUCUUUAUCUACCUAAGAUCCAGACCCACCAAAAAGAGCAAUUAUUUUUAUUUCCCCUUCCUGUAAGACCAAGAAUGUAACCAUGCCCGAACAGACUUUCACAAGAUAAUGUUCAAGUUAAUCUCUGUUCCCUGAUCUACUUACUCUCCCUAGUAAUGAAAGGAGUUGGCCAGCUUGCUUUAGGCAGACAGUAAGGGAAUGGUCCCCAGAGAACCUCUGACCUGCCCCAUAAGUGCUUACACAGGAUGUUUUGUGCAGAUAAGGGAACUUGCACAGGGGGCUUGCCUAAACAUGCCUGCAGUGGAUGAUUCCUUUCCUUAACACAUGCGCAGUUCAGGAAAUUAAUCAAUACGGAGUAGCUCAGUCUAAAGGCCUGCAUGCACUGGUAGGACAGGGUGGAGUUGCCAGGAAUUUGAGCCUUAAGCCCUAGUAUUCAACUGUGAAGAGCAAACCAGAAAUCUGCUUUCAGGACCCUUCUCUUUGCUGACAGCUUUCCUUUCACUUAAUAAAUUCUACUCCGCUCAUUCUUUGAUGGCUGCAUGCCUAAUUCUUCCUGGCUGUGAGACAAAAACCCAGACCUAGCUGAGCGAAGGAGCAAAAAUCCGCAACAGUAAUCCCAUCAACAGAAUUUCUCUUCUUCCCCUCCCAUAAUCUGUUUUGCCAGGAUAAUAUAUAAGCUUUUAAGCCCUCUUGGGAAGUGGAUAAUCAUUCUAUGGUUCUCCCUGUGUACAUGUUAAUAAAUUUGUGAGUUGAUUUUUCAGCAAAGUUUCCCCAGAAGCCAAAGGGGAAAUUUCCCUUGGCCCCUCUACUCUCUUUUCCCAGCUCUUCUUUUACUUUCGUUUUUAUUUCCUCAGCCCAGUAGGUCACAGCCUUCUUUUUAUUUCUUCUCUGUCCAAACCAUCAGUAUAUCCUACAGGUGGGAGAGAAGCAGCUCUCUGGGAAACCAGUAAGCACCAUGAGUUCUGAUACUUUCUAGUACCAUUUGACAUAUUAACAUCCCUGCCACCCCUAAUAUGUAUGGACACGCACACACAUACCACAUCACAUGCAUCACACUAACACAAAUUAUGUAUCACAUACCACACACAGCACACACAGUACCACAUACCCCACACAACACCCACACCACACUACAUGCAUCAUGCACAUAUGUGCACACACCUCUUGUGAUGUGUGUUUAGUGCAAUUCAGAAAGUUACUCUUUGAUUUAAUGCACAUCACUAUGCUUAGAAAUAUUCUAGUUACUGGGAUUCAUCAGUGAACAAUAUUGAAAAAAAUCCAUCCCUUAUGGAACUUGCAUUCUCAUGAGGGAAGCAAACACCAAACAAAAUAAAUUAGUAAAAUAUUCAGUG
rnacentral:lncRNA from 1 species